rnacentral:rRNA from 1 species
GGCGCGCUUAAUGCAUGCAAGUCGAGCGAUGAGGCCCUUUCGGGGGUACAUCAGCGGCAGACGGGUGAGUAACACGUGGGUGACCUACCCUAAAGACGGGGAUAACCCUCGGAAACGGGGGCUAAUACCGGAUAGCUACAGCGUACGGGGGUAUGUUGUAGAAAGCUACGGCGCUUUAGGAGGGGCCUGCGGCCCAUCAGCUAGUUGGUAGGGUAACGGCCUACCAAGGCAAAGACGGGUAGGGGGUGUGAGAGCACGGCCCCCCACAAUGGGACUGGAACACGGCCCAUACUCCUACGGGAGGCAGCAGCAGGGAAUAUUGCGCAAUGGGCGAAAGCCUGACGCAGCGACGCCGCGUGAGUGAAGACGGCUUUCGAGUUGUAAAACUCUUUUCUGGGGGAAGAGGAAGGACGGUACCCGAGGAAUAAGCGUCGGCUAACUACGUGCCAGCAGCCGCGGUAAGACGUAGGACGCGAGCGUUAUCCGGAUUUACUGGGCGUAAAGCGCCUGUAGGCGGCUUUGUAAGUUGGGCGUGAAAGCCCCGUGCUUAACGCGGGGAGGCCGUUCAAUACUGCGGAGCUAGAGUACGGCAGAGGGGAGUGGAAUUCCUGGAGUAGCGGUAAAAUGCGCAGAUAUCAGGAGGAACACCAGUGGCGAAGGCGGCUCCCUGGGCCGAGACUGACGCUCAGAGGCGAAAGCUAGGGGAGCGAACAGGAUUAGAGACCCUGGUAGUCCUAGCCCUAAACGAUGGAUGCUAGGUGUGGGGACGAUGAGUUUCCGUGCCGGAGCAAACGCGAUA